GUGACCUCAAAUCAGGUAGGACUACCCGCUGAACUUAAGCAUAUCAAUAAGCGGAGGAAAAGAAACUAACAAGGAUUCCCCUAGUAACUGCGAGUGAAGCGGGAAAAGCUCAAAUUUAAAAUCUGGCGGUCUUUGGCUGUCCGAGUUGUAAUCUAGAGAAGUGUAAUCCGCGCUGGACCGUGUACAAGUCUCCUGGAAUGGAGCAUCAUAGAGGGUGAGAAUCCCGUCUUUGACAUGGACUGCCAGGGCUUUGUGAUGCGCUCUCAAAGAGUCGAGUUGUAUGGGAAUGCAGCUCAAAAUGGGUGGGUAAAUUCCAUCUAAAGCUAAAUAUUGGCGAGAGACCGAUAGCGAAC
rnacentral:rRNA from 1 species